rnacentral:tRNA from 1 species
GGGGCGGCGCCGGAGCGGGGAGAGCCGGGCCUGGCUGUAAACCAGGUGUCUCGUACUGAGUGGGUUCGAAUCCCACCCGCCCCACCA